CCUACGGGAGGCAGCAGUGGGGGAUAUUGCACAAUGGGGGGAACCCUGAUGCAGCGACGCCGCGUGGGUGAAGGAGUAUUUCGGUAUGUAAAGCCCUAUCGGCAGGGAAGAAUUUAGACGGUACCUGACUAAGAAGCCCCGGCUAACUACGUGCCAGCAGCCGCGGUAAAACGGAAGGCCCGAGCGUUAUCCGGAUUCAUUGGGCUUAAAGGGAGCGUAGGCGGGCGUUCAAGUCAGCUGUAAAAUCGCGCGGCUCAACCGCGCGACGCAGUUGAGACUGGACGCCUUGAGUUCACCAGAGGCAGGCGGAAUUCGUGGUGUAGCGGUGAAAUGCAUAGAUAGCACGAGGAACCCCGGUUGCGAAGGCAGCCUGCCGGGGUGCGACUGACGCUGAGGCUCGAAGGUGCGGGUAUCAAACAGGAUUAGAUACCCGAGUAGUC
rnacentral:rRNA from 1 species